CCUACGGGGUGCAGCAGUGAGGAAUAUUGGUCAAUGGGCGAGAGCCUGAACCAGCCAAGUCGCGUGAGGGAGUACUGCCCUAUGGGUUGUGAACCUCUUUUGUCGGGGAGCAAAAGCCGGACGUGUCCGGCUGUGAGAGUACCCGAAGAAAAAGCAUUGGCUAACUCCGUGCCAGCAGCCGCGGGAAUACGGGGGGUGCGAGCGUUAGCCGGAUUUAUUGGGUUUAAAGGGGGCGUAGGCGGAUUUAUAAGUUAGAGGUGAAAUGUCCGGGCUUAAACCCGGUACUGCCUUUGAUACUGGUGAUCUAGAGAGUAGGUGCGGUAUGCGGAAUGUAUGGUGUAGCGGUGAAAUGCUUAGAUAUCAUACAGAACACCGAUUGCGAAGGCAGCUUACCGAUCUAUAUCUGACGUUGAGGCACGAAAGCGUGGGUAGCAAACAGGAUUAGAUACCCCAGUAGUC
rnacentral:rRNA from 1 species